CGUUACGAGAAGUGUGAUCGUGCGGACGAAUGGAAUUUGAGAAGGAGAUAUAAGUUAAUGAAGAUAGAAACUAGAAAAAGAGUGUG